rnacentral:rRNA from 1 species
GACGAACGCUGGCGGCGUGCUUAACACAUGCAAGUCGAACGGAAAGGCCCUGCUUUUGUGUGGUGCUCGAGUGGCGAACGGGUGAGUAACACGUGAGUAACCUGCCCUUGACUUUGGGAUAACUUCAGGAAACUGGGGCUAAUACCGGAUAGGAGCUCCUGCUGCAUGGUGGGGGUUGGAAAGUUUCGGCGGUUGGGGAUGGACUCGCGGCUUAUCAGCUUGUUGGUGGGGUAGUGGCUUACCAAGGCUUUGACGGGUAGCCGGCCUGAGAGGGUGACCGGCCACAUUGGGACUGAGAUACGGCCCAGACUCCUACGGGAGGCAGCAGUGGGGAAUAGUGCACAAUGGGCGGAAGCCUGAUGCAGCAACGCCGCGUGCGGGAUGACGGCCUUCGGGUUGUAAACCGCUUUCGCCUGUGACGAAGCGUGAGUGACGGUAAUGGGUAAAGAAGCACCGGCUAACUACGUG